AACGCGAAGAACCUUACCUACCCUUGACAUCCUGGGAAGGCUGCAGAAAUGUGGCUGUGCCGAAAGGAACCCAGAGACAGGUGCUGCAUGGCUGUCGUCAGCUCGUGUUGUGAGAUGUUGGGUUAAGUCCCGUAACGAGCGCAACCCUUAUCCUUAGUUACCAGCACGUGAUGGUGGGAACUCUAAGGAGACUGCUGGUGAAGAACCGGAGGAAGGCGGGGACGACGUCAAGUCAUCAUGGCCUUUAUGGGUAGGGCUACACACGUGCUACAAUGGGGCGUACAGAGGGAAGCCAACCCGCGAGGGGGAGCCGAUCCCGGAAAGCGCCUCGUAGUCCGGAUUGAAGUCUGCAACUCGACUUCAUGAAGUUGGAAUCGCUAGUAAUCGCGAAUCAGAAUGUCGCGGUGAAUACGUUCCCGGGCCUUGUACACACCGACGCAC
rnacentral:rRNA from 1 species